ACACGCAAACACUUCACAACUUUCUCUCAUUUUUGCUCCAAGAUCAAAAAUACACUUUCUCUCAAUUUUUCAUAACAAACUCUCAAGAACAUCAACACAAAAACUCAAAAAGUUCAUCUUCUCCUUUAAGUUUCCGGCAGCCACCAUCUCACGCCGCCCGAAGCUCACUGGCGAGCUCCCUCCGACGAUCCUCUCAUUCUCCCUCUGUCGCAUAUCGCUCUGCCUCCCUCGUUCUCUUUCCGUCGCACAAGUCUGACGGCCCAUCCUCCCCCUUCGCAUCGCGCGACUGCUCUGGCCAUUCCUCCCUGCUCUGGUUUCGUGAUUUCGGCCAGCACCUCUGUCAUUCUUCUCCAAUCUUCGUUUUCCGGUACAUUAUGAGAGCUUUCGAUCAUGUAACUAAGUGUUGGUUAUAUGUGAUUGAAAAGUAUUUGGUCUGGAUUCGCUUCCGAUGCGAGUUAUUCUUGUUUCUCAUUUCAUGA